rnacentral:rRNA from 1 species
GUGCCAGCAGCCGCGGUAAGACGAACCGUGCGAACGUUGUUCGGAAUCACUGGGCUUAAAGGGCGCGUAGGCGGGCUGCCAAGUCCGUGGUGAAAUCCUCCGGCUCAACCGGAGAAUGGCCUCGGAUACUGGCGGCCUGGAGGCGGGUAGGGGCAAGCGGAACUGUGGGUGGAGCGGUGAAAUGCGUUGAUAUCCACAGGAACUCCGGUGGCGAAGGCGGCUUGCUGGACCCGAUCUGACGCUGAGGCGCGAAAGCCAGGGGAGCGAACGGGAUUAGAUACCCCGGUAGUCCUGGCCCUAAACGUUGGGAACUAGGUAGUAGCCCGGACAUGGGGUUACUGCCGGAGCAAAAGUGCUAAGUUCCCCGCCUGGGGAGUAUGGUCGCAAGGCUGAA